rnacentral:rRNA from 1 species
UACGUAGGGUGCGAGCGUUGUCCGGAAUUAUUGGGCGUAAAGAGCUCGUAGGCGGUGUGUCGCGUCGGCCGUGAAAACCUGCAGCUUAACUGUGGGCGUGCGGUCGUAGUACGGCAUCACUGGAGUUCGGCAGGGGAGACUGGAAUUCCUGGUGUAGCGGUGAAAUGCGCAGAUAUCAGGAGGAACACCGGUGGCGAAGGCGGGUCUCUGGGCCGAUACUGACGCUGGAGGAGCGAAAGCCGUGGGGAGCGAACAGG